ensembl:lncRNA
UGUGUCCAAAUUGAAGUUGAAACACACUGACAGGAUUUGGAUUGAGUCGCUUUCUUUAUUAUUAUUAUUAUUAUUAUUAUUAUUAUUAUUAUUAUUAUUAUUAUUAUAUGUCCAAAGGAUUUCAAUGUGUUUUGUGUUGUUGUUGCUGCUGCUGGUUUUAAAUGUCAGCUCUGAUUGAAGACUAAAGGCGGAACAUCAUAUUCAGCGUAGCUGCUGGAGUGUUUCUAAAGUGUGACAAUGUUGGAUAACGACAGGUAUGCAGGCAAGAAGAGGAAGAAGCCUGUCCAAAAACAGUGAGUUGUGUUAAUUAUAUUAUAAAACAUGCUUUGCUGAUAGAAAAUGUGCUCUUUAUUUUAUUUUUUUUUAUUUUUUUAAGUGAGUAGGCUGUAAACAUGUAUCAACAGGUAGCAAUAGUAGGCUGUAAAGAUAUAAAGUGGUGAGCCACAUUGUUGUUUGCUUAUUUGUUUUUUUUGUUUGUUUUGAUUGGGAAACCUGUUUAUUAUUAUUAUUAUUAUUAUUAUUAUUAUUAUUAUUAUUAUUAUUAUUAUUGCCAUUCAUAAUAUAAUUGAGCAUAAUUGUUAAUCCUCAAAGAGUGACUAGAAAUCCUAAAUCGUACCCCACUAGAUAUUUAGUGCGCUCCGCAUUGUGUAGCUACCAUUAUUUCAUGUGGUGUUUAGGGCGCCUAUGUAGUGAACAAGACAGGAUUUGGGCACGAGCGAAGUUCGAGCGCAGGAGCUUUGCUCGCACGCGAUGCUCCUGAGAGGGAGGGGGAAGAGCCGGGCUCCUCUAGCCUCAAGUAUGUUAGUGUAAUCUGAUAUACACUACACCCCCACCCUCACUACCCAUUUCUCUCUCUCUUUUUUUAAUGUGGGAAAGCUCUUUUCCCUCUCCACUACCCCUCUGUUGACAUAUUUUAGGACCCGCUCUGUUUUUUUUUCUUCUUAAAAGAAAAAAAGUUGUUCACACGAAACGAACUGAGCAACCCCAGAAAUGAGUGAAACGCACGCGAGUCGAGAAGCUGCU